rnacentral:lncRNA from 1 species
AAAAAGCAACCUAAUUCAGUGAUUUCAACCUUAGGUUCCUUAUGUUGCUUAAUCUUGGGCCUUGCAACCGCAACUUCCUUACCCUUCCACUUCUUAGUUUCCUUAGAAGAGGAUGCCAAAUGAGUACUUUCAGUCUUAUCUAGCUUUAUCCUUUCCUCCUCUUGCACACAGUGUGAAAUGAGCUCAUUAAGAGUCCAUUUCUCCUUCAGGCAGUUGUAACUGACCUUAAACUGAUUAAAGUGUGCAGGAAGAGANN